AAGCGAAUAAAAGCAGGCUGCCCGAGCCAGCAGUGGCAACCCGUUGGGGUCCCCUUCCCCAAUGUGGAAGCUUUGUUCUUUCACUCUUUGCAAUAAAUCCUGCUGCUGCUCACUCUUUGGGCCCACACUGCCUUUAUGAGCUGUAACACUCACCGCGAAGUUCUGCAGCUUCACUCCUGAGCCAGCAAGACCACGAACCCACCAGAAGGAAGAAACUCCGAACACAUCCGAACUUCAGAAGGAACAAACUCCAGACGCGCCACCUUAAGAGCCGUAACACUCAACGCGAGGUUUUCCUUGCUUCCAACAAGGAAGGUAGGAUUUCCUGUUUCCAUGACAAUGGAAGGCAGGUAACUGCCUUAUAGAGUUUGAGCUCACUCCCAGCAAGGAAGAUGAGUUUGAGGGUUUUUUUCCUGCUUCUAGGAUGGUAGAAAGCAGUCUUCAGCCUGAGACCCAUUCCUAGGUGCUCUUGAGUACAAGUUUCUGAUAACUUUGGAGAUUGUGACAUCAGAAUAGAAGAAAAACUUUUAGGACUCAUGGAGAAGUGAAAUGUUCAUGAACAUCAGGCAGAACAGGAAUUAACUGCAUGGACAGAACUAAUACAAGACUGAGGACAUGAGACUUCACAACCUGCUAAAAAUGAACUUUCCUAAUAACUGGGGACCUACCCGUCUAGGAAUAAACCAUCCUAGCCAUGAGAGAUCAGAUGAAACCUGAGACCAGAGACUCAUUUUCUCCUAAAAUGCUUUCUCCAAAAGAUUUUUAAAAAGAAAAGGGGGAAAAUAUGAAUGGAAAAUAAAUCUUGGGGCCCCAACAUCACUAAGCUAAAGGGAAAAGUCAAGCUGGGAACUGCUUAGGGCCAACCUGCCUCCCAUUCUAUUCAAAGUCACCUCUCUGCUCACUGAGAUAAGUGUAUAUCUGACUGCCUCAUUUGGAGAGGCUAAUCAGAAACUCAAAAGAAUGCAACCAUUUGUCUCUUAUCUACCUAUGACCUGGAAACCCCCUCCGCACUUUGAGUUGUCCCACCUGUGAAAGGAAAAUAAAUCUUGGGGCCCCCAAAUCACUAAGCUAAAGGGAAAAGUCAAGCUGGGAACUGCUUAGGGCCAACCAUCCUCUCAUUCUAUUCACAGUCACCCCUCUGCUCACUGAGAUAAAUGCUAUCUGAUUGCCUCCUUUGGAAAGGCUAAGCAGAAACUCAAAAGAAUGCAACUUUCCAUCUCUCACCUAUCUGUGACCUGGAAGCCCAGUCCCUGCUUUGAGUCUUCCUGCCUUUGCUUCAAGCUGUCCCGCCUUUCCAGACCAAACCAAUGUACUUCUUACAUAUAUUGAUGUCUCAUGUCUCCCUAAAAUGUAUAAAACUAAACUGUGCCCCUACCACCUUGGGCACAUGUCGUCAGGACUUCCUGAGGCUGUGUCAUGGGCACAUCCUCUACCCUGGCAAAAUAAACUUUCU